rnacentral:rRNA from 1 species
CUGGUUGACCUCGGAUCAGGUAGGAAUACCCGCUGAACUUAAGCAUAUAU